UUUGCAUAAUGGUUAAAUUAUAAUAAUAAGAAAUCUUUUUUCCCGAAAUAAGAAGAUCUAAAUUUUGAAUUUUAUUAGAAUUUUGAUUAUAUUAAUGUAGCAAAUAUUAAUAAUUUAUCUUAAUUUAGGGGUGAAAGGCUUUCAAUUCUUAUGAUAUCUGGAUUUUAAUAAAAUGCAUUUAGUGCAGAUUUAGAAUUGAAAUUAAAAAUGUUAAGAUUUUUAAUAUAGAAUAAAUUUAUUAAAUAUUUAUUUUAAGAUUAAUCUCUUGAUAAUAAUUAUAUAUUAAAAUUAAAAUUUGAGGAUUUUUCUAAUAGUUGAUUAUUAAAAAUUUGCUUGAUUUUGGAGUAAAUUUUAUAUUGUUUAAAUUAGUAUUAUUAAUAAUUUUUUAUAAGGAACUUGGCAAAUUAAUUGUUCGACUGUUUAACAAAAACAUAGCUUAUUGGCUUUAAUAAUAAGUGAGUCCUGCCCAGUGAGAUAUUUAACGGCCGCAGUACCUUGACUGUGCUAAGGUAGCAUAAUAAAUUGGCUUUUAAUUGAAGUCUUGAAUAAAUGGGUUUAUCGGAUGAUUGCUGUCUUAUUAAAAUUUUAAAGAAAUUACUGAAAAGGUGAAAAUUCCUUUAGUUAUUAAUAUUAGACAAGAAGACCCUUAGAGUUUUUAUUAUAAGAAUUUCUCUUCUUUCUUUUUUGUUGGGGCGACAAAGUAGCAUUAAACCUACUUUAAUUUAUCUGCCGAAAAUUUUAUGUAAAAAUAAACUACCUAAGGGAUAACAGCAUAAUUAUUAUUUUGAUUGUGACCUCGAUGUUGGAUUAGGAAAUUUAAUAGCUAGACGUUAUUAUAUCUUGUUCUGUUCGAACAAUUGCUCUUACAUGAUCUGAGUUCAGACCGGCGUAAGCCAGGUCAGAUUCUAUCUUUUAAAGUUUUUAAUUAGUACGAAGG
rnacentral:rRNA from 1 species